UCAGGCCCGCGACCCCUCCGCCUCGUCUUCUCCCUGCUCCCUCCUCUCCCACGUGGCCGCCCUCGAGCCCCCUCCACCUCGUCUCCUCGCCGCUCCCUCCUCUCCAACGCCGCUGCCCUCGAUGCGCCGUCGGGGAUCCCAUCAGCCCGAGCCUAGGAGAAGACCACUCCUAAUCUUACUUGCCGCCGCUGAUUGGAUCGAGAGCGCCCACAUGGCCUCGCCACCGCUGCCGCCUGGAUUUGCUCGCCGCCGCAUGGAGUCACCCUGGCCGCCGCGUGGAGUCGCCCUGGCCGCCGCCUCGAGUCAUCUCCGUCGCCGCCGAGAGUCAGCUCCACCAUUGCCCCCGAGGAAUCCAGUCCCGGCAAGGUAACUUCCUCUGAAUCCCUGCUCUCCCUGGUCCUCCUGCCCUGCUUGCUGCAUGUGUGUUGUGUGCGUUUGGCCACUCCUCGAGCAAGCUCAAGUCCGUCGACGACGGACUUUUACAGGUACCACCUGCCUCCCUUCCGAUCUUCAGAUCUCCAUAUUUGGUGACUGCGGUGUUUUGAUUUCGUUGGAUUACUAUCUGUAUUUGGGGAUUAGCUAUGAAUUGAUGUUUUUACUUCGAGCAUGGAUAGUCGGCAGUACUGAUUUAGGUCUUUUUGUUGAACAGAAUGAUUAGCUGAGCUCGUCUAUUUCUGGAGAACUGCACUAUAGAUGAUAUAUUUAUGAACGAUCUUAACACUGAAAAUGCAAAAUUUCCGGAAAAUUCCCAGGGAUUUGAUUGACGGAGGCAUCACUAUUUGACGUUGGAUUAUCCAUUUUUGCAGCACUAACAAUGUUGUUUUUGUUUGGAAUGGCCAGUUCUCAAUUUCUAUUCUGUUAUCAACGAUACUGUACUUCUUGUUAGGUUACAUUAUCUUACUUGGUUUCAGUGUAUAUGUAGCACAAAAAUAGGUAACAUGGUUGUUUUCAUGCUCGAUUUGGUUUGUAGGUUACACUAAGGAACACCAUCAUAAGGAAAAGGGCACUGCACUACAUUGUUUAUAAUUGGCCUGUUACUAUUCGGUCUGCUGUAGUACUUAAUUGCUACACCAUUUCAAGUUAUGUAGUCUAAAAUAACCCUUUCAAAUGAACUUUUUUAAUUGAUAUUCAAAGCAUCAACAUGGUGGACUAGAUCAUGAAAUCAACUAUGAUCAUGAGAACUUGAAGCUAUUUGUUGACUAAAUUGUCAAUUGUUUUGUGUGAAUUGAAACUGGCAGUGUGAUGACAUUACUGUAGAUGCUUUGCUAUAUACAUUUGCCUAAUCCUCUCUCUCUCUAAUAUGUUCUCUUUUGUGAAGAUCCUUCGCAGAUCAAUUGGUGAGGUAGAAUGCUAAGCAUCGUUUCACAUUCAGGUUUGCUAUCAAACUCUCAAAAAGGAAAAACAACUUUACUCUGUUUUUUGGAGAACCUUCCUGUAGAGUACCUCGACAGAGACAAAUAUGCGAUCAAGGAUAUAUUCGAUGGAUUUUCAUGCAAAAUUUGGAGGAUAUUUUUGCAGAUAGUUUGGUGCUCUCAUGGUUAUUUUGUAGUGAUUUUCCUUCUGUUCAUUACUUGGUAACCAUCUACGGCAGCUCAGCUAUUGUCCAGCUGCUGACCUUGGCCUUUCAAUCUCACUGUGAUUCCCCGAGAUGCGCUAUUAGUAGGCAUCCACUUUGUAAUAAAAAUUUGGCAGUCAACUUGAAACGAGUCAUUUAUCUAGCUACAGCAACCUUCCUUGCUUUUGCAAAUAAUAUUGUAUGGUUGACCCUAUAGUCUAUACAUGCCAAAUAUUUACACGUUAGUAUAGCCAGAAAGUCAGAUGAUCGUUCCAUGUUGGUUAGCCGUCAUAAAUCAAAUUUCUAGAGUAGUAGAUGAUUUGUAUCAGGUUACUUUUAGAGAUUGAAAUAUGUCUUGACUCUGAAAUUAGUAGUACAUCGUCCAGUUCUCCAUAGGUGAAAGCAUACUAUGCAAAACUGGCCGGCCUUCUAAAGCUCUGAAACUACUAUUUGUUGUGUAAUCUGUAUCCCCUUUUCAUACUUUGUAUAUGCUUUCUACUUGCUAGGAAAAAAUGCGUGAGAAUGAUGGCCUAGAGUAUGUGAAUUGCACUCAAAUAUAUGCAUGUUUCUUGCCAAACUAACUGCCACUAUUGUAUUUCAGGUGCUUCUUCUGUAACUUAGUGCAUUUUGCUGGCUCGUCUCAUUUCCUGGCGAACUUUUUAGUAUGUACAGUUGAAUCAUUGGAAGUUGUUUUCUACUAUCUAUAGAGGUUUUAUCCAAACUAUUAGCUGUCUCACUUGCUUUUUUGAAAUACACCAACCUGAUAGACCAAGUGGACCAACACAUUUCCAUGGGAUUUAGAAAAAUAUAUGUGAAUUUGCAUACAUUUUCUAAAUUUCUAUCUUUUCUUAUCCAUGCCUCCCCAUAGAUAUAUAGCAGGCUCAACAAAAAUAUAUGUCCGAUUAUGUUCAAAUUUUAAGGAAGUGUGCUUCACACUUCUCUUUCUGCAAUAUGUUUCAGAGUAUAUGAUUUAAUUUUCCUACUUUUCCAGUUAAAUUACUGUGUACUUCAUUCUUAGCUUUGCUUUAGGAAAAAUAUGUAUGCAGGUUAUCGAAAGCUCCAUUUUUCACCAUUAUAUAUAUUAUAUAGCUUUGUGGUUGAAGGUAGGUUGUCACAUAUGGGAUGUUGCUUGUGAAAGUUAUAUACAACCAUGUGUCCCUGACAAAAUAAUCGCAGCUCAUAUUAUUAGGAUCAGGGAACCUCGACCAUUUUUCUGAAACAUGUCGCAGCUCAUGUUCCUACUUUCCCAGCUACAGUAGUACUUCAUUCUUACCUUUGCUUUUGGAAGUUACAUUGCUUUCUUUUCCCUCAUAAACUUGCUAGCGAUAUUGGCAAAGUAAUCCCCACUUCAGAUUUCCCAUUGAAUGAAUAACUAAUUUAGUUUGUUCAAAAAUUGUAGGUCAAGAGCCAUGAAUAGGAGCAAGGCAUCACACUCCAGCUCUGCGAAGAAAAGGAUAUGAAGACAAAGAUAUCAGUGUUCUUCUCCGAAGCAAAAACAUUUUGCUUGUAAUAAUGAACUGUAAUUUACCACAAUCUCUAAAACAGGCCUACCUACUUGAUUUUGUAUUAGGAAGUAUGACUCAGUCAUAUAUAUUUACAUUCACUUUGUUUAGUUAUGGUUUGUAUGCAUGAAAAUACCUUUUCAUAAACGAGCUUGAAAAUUCUUAUGUGCAGUGAAAUUGUAUCUUAGCACUUUGUAAAGAACGAAUGAAACACAUUUCGAAUAACUCUUUAGUCUAAAUUGA